rnacentral:rRNA from 1 species
CCUACGGGAGGCAGCAGUGGGGAAUCUUCCGCAAUGGGCGCAAGCCUGACGGAGCAAUGCCGCGUGAACGAAGAAGGUCUUCGGAUUGUAAAGUUCUGUCCUUAUCGAAGAGAGGGUAUAGAGUGAAAAAUGAUAUACUAGGACGGUAGAUGAGGAGGAAGCUCCGGCUAACUACGUGCCAGCAGCCGCGGUAAUACGUAGGGAGCAAGCGUUGUCCGGAAUUACUGGGCGUAAAGGGCGCGUAGGUGGGCGCUUAAGUCAGGUGUGAAAACUCCGGGCUCAACCUGGAGACUGCACUUGAAACGGGGUGUCUUGAGUAUCGGAGAGGCAGGCGGAAUUCCUAGUAUAGCGGUGAAAUGCGUAGAUAUUAGGAGGAACACCAGUGGCGAAGGCGGCCUGCUGGACGACAACUGACGGUGAGGCGCGAAAGCGUGGGGAGCAAACAGGAUUAGAUACCCGAGUAGUC